rnacentral:misc_RNA from 1 species
AACGAGGCCGACCUGCGGCUGAGUUACCUGCGGAGGGAUCAUCAUCGAAUUCAUAUCCCCCUCCUCAACCGGAGGGGGACCCAUGAUAAACCCUUCUGUGCACCGUAAACCGUUCACUUUGGCAGGCUUUGGUGGUGAGCGUGAGCUCGCCUCCAACCUCGCGUUCCCUCCCUAAGGGAUGUUACGCGUGGCGGCCUGCCGGAGUCCUAUUAAAAAACUCGUUUUCGAACACGUCUGAAA